AAAAAAUAUAAAAUAAUGUAAAAAUAUAUACAUACAGUUUUUAUGAGCGAUCCCUAUGUGCAUAAUAUUAUACAUUUAUACACAAGUUUUCAAUCUAUGUGAAGUUGCUGAUGGAUUUAAAAUGGAAUAGUAUUCAUAUAAGUGAAUCACGGACGUUUCACCCCCCAAUUGGCCAAAUUCGUUUAAAUCAUUGGAAGAAUUAGACGAUAUUUUGGUGUAUUUUUGAUUCAACUUACGUCAACAGGACAUACAAAUCCAUAACAACGGAGUACGGUACAACUCGUACAAUUCGCUUUCUACGAUAUCCACCAAUAUUUUCACCGCACAUGUGGAACAUUUACAAUGCCACAAAAAAAGGCCAUAAAUGGUCGGACCAACAACGUGUCAGAAGGAUUCAACAAUAAGUUAAAAAAUAUUGUAAGAAUUAAACAUCCUAACUUGUACAUAUUUAUUGAAUCAAUACAGAUGUGCAAUGCGUCUGCAACGACUGCAUUGGUACAAAAACAAAAUUAAAUAAUAAAUGUACCGAAAAUAGUUAGUUUUAGUUUUAAGGAAAAGAAAUUGCAAUCACAUUGUACGAGAUUUCAAUAUAAUGAUGAUGAUGAUAUUUUAUACUAUUUAAAAAACAUAAGUCAGUUGACCUAAAAAUAAAUAUAUAAUUUAUCUUAAUAUUAUAGCUUUUAAUUUUAAUUUAUUCAUUUUUACUACAUUUUAUGUUGACUUAAUACAGUUGUGAUUUAUUUAAAUCUUGACUAUUUGUAAUUGUAUUGUAUGAAUAUUGAUUAUGUGUUUGUAUAUUUUGUAGUAUUGUCAUUUAAAGAUUAAAUUGUUCAUUACAUAUUAAUACUCGACGGGGACGAAACGGCGGGGGCGAAACGUCGUUUACCCAUAUAAGCAUACCCUACAACACCGCAGAUGACGCACCUGUAUGGCUAUGGACUUUGGCUAAUGUGUUUGUAGCCUUGCCCUUAAUAAUUCUGGAUGAAGUUCAAACGUGUAUCCAAAUCAUUCUGGGAAAUAAAUUGCUGGUCAUCAGUAGCCCAGAUGUCAAACUAAAGUGGUUAUAAAAGGUGUUAUUGAAAAGAAAAAUGUGAUACAAAUAGAAUUAAAUACCUAUAAGUAAGUGUACAUUUUUAUAAGUGUAAAUCCUUCGUUUUGUGCAAUUUAAAAUGUCACGGAUACGGAAUCGUAUAAAAAUAAAAUACUUUGUUUUUUAUUAAUUAUUAUUUUUUUUCUUAUUACAUAAUAUUAUGUACCUAUAUAGGUAAUAUUAUUAUAUUAUAUUGUCUCUUUUUUAUUAUUUUAUUAAGUAUUAUUUUUAAUACAUUUCAUAAAAUACAAUUAGUUUAAUAUAUUAUAUUAAUCA